GACGAACGCUGGCGGCGUGCCUAACACAUGCAAGUCGAACGGAAAGGCCCUGCUUUUGUGGGGUGCCCGAGUGGCGAACGGGUGAGUAACACGUGAGUAACCUGCCCUUGACUUUGGGAUAACUUCAGGAAACUGGGGCUAAUAUCGGAUAGGAUCUCCUGCAGCAUGGUGGGGGUUGGAAAGUUUCGGCGGUUGGGGUUGGACUCGCGGGUUACGAGCUAGCUGGUGGGGUAGUGGCUGACCAAGGGUUUGACGGCUAGCCGGCCUGAGAGGGUGACCGGCCACAAUAGUCCUGAGAGACGGCGCAGACUGCUACAUGGGGCAGCAGUCGGGAGUAUUACACAGUAGGCUGGAGCCAGAGACGAAGGCGCCGCGUGCGGGAAGCCGUCCUUUGGGUUAUGAACAGCUUUCGCUUGUGACGAAGCGGGAGUGACGGUACUGAAUAAAGAAGCACCGGCUAACUACGUG
rnacentral:rRNA from 1 species